GCUCCCGCCGCUCCCAGGGUUUGAACCUGGGACCUUUCAGUCUGCAAGUUCAGCAUUUCAGUGCUUUAACACACUUCGCCACCAGGGCUCCUUAAUAGUUGUUUAGCACUCUCCAAAUAUCUACACUCUCCAAGAUGAAGCUCUAAGCUGCAGAAGAAAGGCCUGCAAAUUAUUAUUGAGAAACCUGAUGCAGCUGCAAAAGUUGGCCACAGCCCAAGAAAAAGGAGCAGGAUGGGAGGAGGAAGGGCUCAGAAACAAAGAAAGUUAACUUUCAUAAAGUCACCUUACAGGAAGCGUUCAGUGGUGCUGAGAGAGGACGUACAAACUUUUCUCCUUGGCUGCUGUAAGGGCAAACAGGAAAAGUAUAACUAAAGCAAGAAUGGUGAAAAGAAAACAGAUGAAUAAGAAGAAAGAAGUGAGAAGCAUAUUGUAGCUGUUAGCUUCCUGUAUCAGGUAUCAAGUGAGUAUCAGAAGUUUAAUAUUUCUGGUUUUUAAAAUGUAAUCUUUUGUUUAAAUUUGAUUAAUUAAAAAUUAUUUCCAAAAUAUUUUUCCUGUUUUUCAAAAGACUUCCUCUGUCUUCAUUAUCAAUUUCCAGUAGCAAACAUUGCACGGAUCUCUUUGACCAUGUGAUGGAAUGCAGUUAUUGAUGAACAACUCCAUUUUGUAUAUUUAAGGAUUUUAAAAACUUUAAUAAUUAUGUCAUUAUAUCAGGACUUUGAGCAUCCACGUUGUGCAAUACAUAUGUAGGAACUAUAGCCUAGUUAUUUGGGAUGAAUGUCCAUUACAGUAACUAAUACAUGUAUCUUAUGUCACACUAGUAACUUAGGCUGGAUCUACACUGCCAUAUAAUGCAGUUUCAGAAUGCGGAUUAACAGCAUUGAACUGUAUUAUAUGGCAGUGUAGACUCAUAUGCAGAUAACCUGCAUUCUGAAACUGAUCCAGAAGAGGUAAUACAGUAGAGUCUCACUUAUCCAAGCCUCGCUUAUCCAAGCUUCUGGAUUAUCCAAGCCAUUUUUGUAGUCAAUGUUUUCAAUAUAUCAUGAUAUUUUGGGGCUAAAUUUGUAAAUACAGUAAUUACAACAUAACAUUACUGCGUAUUGAACUACUUUUUCUGUCAAAUUUAUUAUAUAACAUGAUGUUUUGGUGCUUAAUUUAUAAAAUCAUAACCUAAUUUGAUAUUUAAUAGGCUUUUCCUUAAUCCCUCCUUAUUAUCCAACAUAUUCGCUUAUCCAACAUUCUGCCAGCCCGUUUAUGUUGGAUAAGUGAGACUCUACUGUACAUGUAUCUUAUGUCACACUAGUAACUUAGGCUGGAUCUACACUGCCAUAUAAUGCAGUUUCAGAAUGCAAAUUAACAGCAUUGAACUGUAUUACAUGGCAGUGUAGACUCAUAUGCAGAUAACCUGCAUUCUGAAACGGAUCCAGAAGAGGUAAUACCAUUAUUUUUGGAGUAUAGUCAUAACUUUUUAUUACUUUUAUAGAUACCUCACUAAAUGGUGCAGGAGGAAUAACUCAAAUGCCGUGUCUGAUGCUGCUGUUGGGUGGGUGCUGAGCUGACCAGAAGAUGGAUCAGUAGGGAGUAUAUUUUAUAUCACAGGCCAGUAGCUUUUAGCAUUCGGAUCAGGAAAAGCUGGUGCCCACUGGUGCUGGUGAGGCAGAAGGUGGAGUUGCUAAAGGCAAAGCCAACUACAGUACUUGUAGUUUGCUACCCAACCUCCUCUCUUGCAAGGUCUUACCUAUACCCAACAUAACCCUGCUAGGUUACUGUGGGUUUGUUUGUCAAUAUUCCACCUGCUUAAACAGAAGGACCAUACUAGGAUAUUAAUGCUAUGUAGUAAUUACUGUAUUUACGAAUUUAGCACCAAAAUAUCACAAUGCAUUGAAAACAUUGACUACAAAAAUGCGUUGGAUAAUCCAGAACAUUAGAUAAGUGAGACUCUACUGUACCACAUUUGAUCCAGAAAACUAUUCAGCUGCUUCCAUCUUCUCUUCCCUCUACCUUUUUCUAAUUUGGAAACUCUUGAGUAGAUAAAAAUUAGCACUUCACAGGGCAAUUAAACUUGCAGUUUUCUAUCAUGUUCUUAUAAAUGUAAGAUCUAAAUAUAGCUGAUGAAGAAAUUGGUUGUUUGAUACUAGCAGUGAUCGCACAAGAACCUCCCAUGUGAAAUCAUCUCUAUGAGCAGUGCAGUAUAAUAGUUGUCACUGGGUGCAUUUACACUGUAGAAUUAAUGCCAUUUGACAUCACUUUAACUGCCACAAAAACAGUCCUGAGAGUUUGCACACUUCCCACCUCGAUCUAGACUUUGUGUGGUAUCACCAUCCAAUUUUGGAGUGUCCCAUCACCCAGAACUAUGUGAAGAAACAACAAUUUGUUAUGUCUGCC
rnacentral:lncRNA from 1 species